GUGCCAGCAGCCGCGGUAAUACGUAGGGUGCGAGCGUUAAUCGGAAUUACUGGGCGUAAAGCGUGCGCAGGCGGUGAUGUAAGACAGAUGUGAAAUCCCCGGGCUCAACCUGGGAACUGCAUUUGUGACUGCAUCGCUGGAGUGCGGCAGAGGGGGAUGGAAUUCCGCGUGUAGCAGUGAAAUGCGUAGAUAUGCGGAGGAACACCGAUGGCGAAGGCAAUCCCCUGGGCCUGCACUGACGCUCAUGCACGAAAGCGUGGGGAGCAAACAGGAUUAGAUACCCUGGUAGUCCACGCCCUAAACGAUGUCAACUGGUUGUUGGGAAUUAGUUUCUCAGUAACGAAGCUAACGCGUGAAGUUGACCGCCUGGGGAGUACGGCCGCAAGGUUGAAACUCAAAGGAUUGACGGGACCCGCACAAGCGGUGGAUGAU
rnacentral:rRNA from 1 species